GCCCCCCAUCCCAUCCAUUCCACCGGCUCUCGGCCACCUUCGUUGGUCGGCAGGAGGAGAUUCGAGAUCUCGGAAAUCGGCGCUUGGCUGGCACUGCCACAGGAGGGCCGGCGGUGGAGCUCCGCAGCCCGGCGCUCCGCCCUCCGCCCACUCUCGGGGGCCACACCGCGCAGCGGGCAUUGGGCGCGCUCGGCGUCCGCCUCUUUCCGUCUCUGCGAUUGUGGGUUCGCUACAGACUUUACGUGCAAGCCGUGCAGGCUGUAGAAACAGGCAGUCUCGACCAGAAAGCUUAUUCUGGAGUACAUUUACAGAAUCAUGGAAUCGUUUGAGUUGAAUCGCAGCCAUCUCGUCCAAGUGCCCUGCAAUGAACAGGGACACCUACAGCUCCAUCAGGUGCUCAGAGCCCUCCAUCCUGAUCCUGAGCGUCUCCAGGGACAGGGUGUCCACCACCUCUGGGAAAGCUGUUCCAGCACCUCACCACCUCUUUUGUAAAAAAAAAAAACAUCUUCCUUAUAUCCAGGCUAAAUUUCCUCUCUUUCAUUUUGAGACCAUUUCCCCUUGUCCCACCACAGAAGACACUGCUAAAAAGCCUGUCGCUAUAUCGUUUAGUCUUAAGGAAAUGGGAUUGGUUUGUUUGUUUUUCCCUGAGAAAUUCACUUCAAGAAGAAAAUACUAUUCUAUGUAUCCCACCUGUAAGACUGGAGUGCUGAUUUGUUUUUUCUAUACUUGAUGGGAAGCUCGCAUAGACAAUUAUAUUUGUGAUAGUAAAAUGGGAUUUUUCAAAUAAUAAAGUUUUGUAUUUAGUUUUUACAUAAA